rnacentral:lncRNA from 1 species
GAUCGCAUAUUGGUACAGAUGUUGUAUAUAAAUAUUUAUGUUAGUAUUGAUAAUGUAUAUUGUUUUAUACUUAUUUGCAUGAAUCUCGGUUUUUAAAUAUUCCCGCUUCGAGGUGAGUAUGCGUUUGCGAGAGCGUCCGAGAGUGGUAAAAUACUACACGAGAGCCGAUCUGUCCAAGAUGGACGUGUAUGUCAACGUGCCAUAAAAAACCACCCGGACUUCAGACACAUAACACCUGAGAUGUGUGCCUACAGGAGGGGUUAUGGGUGCCAGACCACCCUGCUGCGCAUGCUGGAGGACUGGAAGAGGGCCUUGGAUGACCACCACCAUGUUGGUGCUAUACUAAUGGACCUUUCCAAGGCCUUCGACUGUCUUCCGCAUGACCUGUUCCUCAGGAAACUCUCUGCAUAUGGAGUAGGGGAGGGGGCUGUGCGCCUCCUCCAGAGCUACCUGGGGAACAGGAGCCAGAGGGUGAAGCUGGGGCCCAACACCAGUGAAUGGAGACUACUGAAGAAGGGGGUACCCCAGGGCUCCAUACUGGGACCACUGGAAUGAAAAUACAGCACAGCUUCCAAGGGUCAACACCACCAGAUUUCCAUGAACGGGUUGGUAGGUGAGAGGAAUGUGAACGAGACAACUGGCGCGACACACAUUGGGUCAGUUCCACAAGGGCAGACAACUGGUGCUACACACAGUGGGUCAGUUUUACAAGGGCAGACAACUCAUAGUUGUACUGACGUCAUGCGUCAGUGAGGGAGCAGUCCUCAGGUCAUCUGCGGAACCGGAGGCCUGCAUUAUAGCACAUCGGUGCUAGACCGUUCUCAGCACAUCGGUGCUAAACCCUUCUGCGGUGGGGUAUAUAUCCAUGAUUAGCGGACGUGGAUUAUAUGGUGAAGCGGAACACAAGUUUGUGAGACUUGUUUAGUCCAUCGGAUCCUUUCCAUAUUGUAUUGGGUAUUGCCCACAUGGACAGUGGAACUAUUGGUAUACAAGCGGCAACUGUGACUCCACCAACCGGAGUAAUGACCUUUAGUGUUGAAUGUAUGAAUGUGUGUUUGUGAGUGUGAGUACAUACUUACGGGGGUUUUCUUCAAUAAUUAUUGUAAAUAAACUUGUAGAUAUUGUAUAACAAAUCGUUCUGUAUUCUUUCAGCUACCGACCGGUCGUCCAACGUUACAGUGGGGAUCUCAACCAUUUCCAAGUAAUACACCUUUUUUGGCCCUAGUCCUAAGCCCGGGGGUUCAGCCCCAAAAUUUCCAGUUAAAUAUGGUUGAUAUCCAUCUCUUAUAUCCAGAGAAGAAGUCACUUAAAGCAUUAUAGCCAAAUUGCCCCUUUUUGGCCCCGCCCAUCAGCCCUACUAUUUGUACAAUUUUAAAUCCCCAUCACCUAUCAUCCCCGCCAGUGUACAAUUUUGAAUCCCUGCCUCCCACGAAUGCUUUUGAUCAAAUAUGAUUGAUAUCCAGUGGAUAGUUCUAC